CUUGUACUCCCUCUGUCCAAAAAUACUUGUCAUUGAAAUGGAUGUAUCUAGAUGUAUUUUAGUUCUAGACACAUCCAUUUUGAUGACAAGUAAUUCCGGAUGGAGGGAGUACUUG
rnacentral:pre_miRNA from 1 species